UAAAACAGCCCAAACCUGACUCUGCAGCUGGGAGAGGAGCCCCAGCACCAGGAUUCCCAGGUGUUCCAGUCAGUACUCAGGACAGGAUACAGACAACUCACCAUGGAGUUUGUGCUUGGCUGGGUUUUCCUUGUUGCUCUUUUAAAAGGUGUCCAGUGUGAGGUGCAGCUGGUGGAAUCUGGGGGAGACCUGGUGAAGCCUGGGGGUUCCCUGAGACUCUCCUGUGCAGCCUCUGGAUUUACCUUCAGUAACUAUGGCAUGAGCUGGGUCCGCCAGGCUCCAGGGAAGGGGCUGCAGUGGGUCGCAUAUAUUAGCUAUGAUGGAAGUAGCACAUACUACGCAGACUCUGUGAAAGGCCGGUUCACCAUCUCCAGAGACAACGGCAAGAACACGCUGUAUCUGCAGAUGAACAGCCUGAGAACCGAAGACACAGCCGUGUAUUAUUGUGCAACAGACACAGUAAGGGGCCCAUAG